GCAAGUCGAGGGGUAACAGAAAGUGCUUGCACUUUGCUGACGACCGGCGCACGGGUGCGUAACGCGUAUACAAUCUACCCUUUACUAAGGAAUAGCCCAUGGAAACGUGGAUUAAUGCCUUAUAGUAUGGAGACCUCGCAUGGGGCUUUCAUUAAAGAUUACGGUAAGGGAUGAGUAUGCGUCCUAUUAGCUAUUAUGAGAGGUAACGGCUCCCAUAGGCUAUGAUAGGUAGGGGUUCUGAGAGGGAAAUC
rnacentral:rRNA from 1 species